CAAAGCCUGGGUAGGUUUUUAAUCAAAACCUGUGUUUCAGGUUCCUUUUGUUAAAGAAAUGCCCUUCCGAGAUGGAACACCAAAACCUCAUUAAAUUGCAAACACUGGACUAUAAAAGAUGGAGAAUGAGCAAUUCCAUUUAAAUUGUGGCUCUGCACACUUGCCCCACAAGGACAAGGAGCUCUAAAGGUCAAGGCUACACAGCGCAGGAAGAUUUUGCUGAUUUUGGCUGGUGGGAUCAGCGCGUCCACUGUGGAAGGUGCAUCAUCUGUCUUAGGAACACCUUCUGAUGCAGGAGAGGUUACGGGGAAAGAGUUGCUAAGUUCUGUACAUCGCGGGAACCUAUACAUUAAGAGGUAUACAGAGAAGCCAUUCGAUCCAGAGAGCAAAAGAUAGUGAUAAAUGCCAUCAAGAGCAAGGGCAGCAUGGAACUCAAGGGCCAGACCCAGGCUGGCUGUGUCCUUCUGGGAAGGCAGGCCAGUGCAGUACCAGCUGUGGCCACCCCUAUAGCACAUAUAUACCUGCUAAGCAUGCUCACAACAGCCUGUCUGAGACCAGGAGAGGAAGAUCUCUGUAUCUGAUAGCAGCCAUUCCAACUUAGCUCUUCAGAAGACACAUUUGUAAUCUUGUGGUCAUACUCCUGAUGGUGUAAAAGGGUGAUGAUUGUAAUUUACACAUGGACUCCAGACUUCUGCACAAGAUGGAGAAAAGCUUUGAGAAACGGGCCCCAGCCCGGCAGUGCAUGCUGUCAUCGAAAGGGAAGCAGCCUGCGAUCACAUUUGCUCACCGUGCAAGCAGAAUUUCUCAUGGAUCUGAUUUGAUUUUAAAAUGAGCACUAUUAAAAGGCAAUGAGUGUGUUUCCUAACGUAGGUUUUAAUUUCGCUAUGAAUAAAUGCAGUAUGGCUCUGUCUGAUGUUGACGGGGUGAGCUGGGUUGUAAAAUGUUUGUUUCAGUACAGUUGCAGACAGAAGGAGUCUGGGGAGUUUACACACCCUUAAAAGGGAUGCAGACAAGGAAGUAUUCAGAGCAGAGCCACAAAAGGUGAUUAAAGGACCUGGGAAGCAAGGGAAACCAAAAUUAUUAGGCCUGCAGAAAGGCCUGCGUGUGGCAGGAACUGUUCAGAGCACAGGCACACUGCUUUAGACCAAACCAGGGAGAGUAGGCUUCAAUGAGAACAGGGUGGUUUAGGACCCAAAAAACAGUUUCCUCCCUGGAUUCUAGAAGCUGGUUCUCUUCCAUGGGAUCUCUAGGGAAGAGACCUGCUGGUCAGGUAUAGCUUGUUUUAGUUUCAGUCUGCUCCUUCCGAGGGUGUGUAGCUCUCUCUGUCUCUUUCCGUGCUGGUAGCUGGCAAAGAGAGAGCACACAGCCACCUGAAGGCAGCCUUA